UCAAACUGCACUUCAUGAGGAGAAAACUGAAGAAUCAGUGAAGGAUCAAGAAGCUACAACAGAUGAAGUAGUUGCCGAAGCUCCUGCAGCGGAAGCAGCUGCCGAAGAGCCAAAGGAAGCGGAGCCUGCGGCGGUGGCAGUCGAGGAACCUGAAGCCUCGGUUGAAGUUGAAACCAAGGAGGUGGUAGAAGAACCAAAGGCUGUUACUGAGGAGCCAGUAGUAGAGGAGACUCCUAAGGAAACAGUGCCAGAACCAGUUGCCGAGGAGAUCAAGGAAACCACUGAACAAACCGUUGAAACCAAAGAAACUACAGAGUCUAGUGAGGCAGCAGCAGAAGCACCCAAAGAAGAAGUUGAGAAGGAAGAAGAAGCAAAACCGGCUGAAGUGGAGGAGAAAGUUGAAACAGAAACUGAUCCAGCAGAGAAGACUGAGUAAAUAAUAAAGCUUUUGUGAUGAAAAUGAGGGUGUCAAUGGAAGAUUGUUUCAAGUGGCUACAGUUUGAUAAGUUUGCAUGUCAAUUCAACUAGUUUUCUUCUAUGUAGGUCAAUAAGGAUGUGGUAAUGUGGCUGAUGGAGGCCCACCGAUAGUAGUCUUGCAAUGGCUAAGUUAACAUGCAUUUGCAUAUGUCAAAGAGUGACAUACUUCAUGUUCCAUUGUGGGGGAAUUUUUAUGGGUCAUCUGUUAUCUGUAAAGGGAUGGGUUUCUUGGGUCCCAAACCACCUUUCUUUGCUUAUGUUUAUUGUUUUGCUUGUAUGGUUAUUAGGAGAGGCAGUAUCAAGUAUGCAUGUUGUCUUGGUUAUAAUAAAUCUUAGUCCUUUUGUUUAACAUUUGUUCAAUGUCCAAUUUCUUCCUAUUGCUCCAAUAUACCCAAAACCCGAGACUGCUUUUUCUUUUAAAAUAAUUUAAUUUAAUGCAAUUUCUUUUCCUCACACUCUUUCAAAUUAGCCUACAUUGUCCAUUUUCACAUAAAUGCAUUGUUUUGAGACCUAGGAUCUGUUUUGAAAAACACAUUAAAGUCUAAUUAUUAAGACUAAUUAAUUAUAAAGAAUUGUAAUUAUUUAGAUGUGUUUGGCUAACAAAAUAUAAUUAUAUUGUAAUUCAUGUAAUUUUUUAUGUCAUGUUUGACAGUACAAAUUGUAAUUAUAUAGUUAUAUAAUUUAUAUUUUUUGUAAAAUAUUAUUAGCGUGAUAAUUUUUUUCCAAACAAGUAAUAAAAAUAAAAAUUAAAUUAUCAUAUGUAUUAUGUUAGUCCAAAAAUGUAGUUGAUAAUACGAUUACUAAUAAAAAUAACAAGGAAAAUAAACAUUAUAUGUAAUUUUAUCUAAUUGUUCUAGUGCUCCAUAUUUGUUGAUUUUUUUAUAGUAUUAAGUAAUUGCAAUCACUCCACAUAUGUUGUGCUUGCGUUGUGACCAAGUCAAUUAUUAACGUGUCAUAAUGUUUUAUUGAUGUUGAGGCUAAAGCCUUUGUUUUGUUGAUGGAGCUUGUGCUUCACCAUCUAUGACGAGUACUUACUAUUUUUUCUCUCUGAAUUGUAUAAUUCUAUUCAUUGAAUAAAUUAAUGAAUUUACCUUUCGAUUUUAUUUUGUGAUUUAUUUUUAAUUAUGAGAACUAUGCUACGAUAAUAUCCUGUUAGAUGUAUUUUAAGACAUAUUAUUAUGUGGUUUACUAUAUUAAGACAUUUAGAAAAUUUUCAGUAUGAAUAAAUUUUAUUUAUAACAUUAUUAGUUUAUUAUAUUCUUUUAAUUUUUUUGAAAUUUUUUUUUAUAUCUAGUGGAAUCAAAUCAACAAGCCUUUUAAUUCAUUAUAAAAUUAGGAUUUGUUUGAAACAUUUUUAUUCUUUUUUAGAUUUAACCACCUUCAAUUUUGGAAGAAAGAAUAAUAAGGGUAACUAAGACUUACUAACUACAAACUUGAUUUAGCAAUUAUAUUUGUAUGAAAUACUAAUUAUUUUUUAUAGAAUAUGGAUAGAAUUGUUCAUUUAAGCUAUAUAGGAAUUGCAGGUUAGACUAUUUAUAGUUUACAUUCAUAUAAUUUAAUUAUUUAUAGUUUUGCUUAAAGCAAUACCUGAAAUUAACUUUUUUUUUUAAUAUUCCUAUAGAUUAGUCUUUAGUAAAAACAAAACAUGAUUUCAAGUAUUUUUUAAAUUUAUUCUAAAACAAGUUUUAUAUAUACGUAAUUUUUAUAUAUGUAUUGUUAUAUUUAAAAAAUAUAUGUAAGACAAAUUUGAAACAAUUUUGUUUUCAAUUAAAACUAUAAUUUAAAAAUUAUCAAUUAAAUUUUAUUAUUAAAUAUUUAAUUCAAAUAUUUGUUUAGAAUAAAGCUUAUUACAAAAAUUAAAUACAUGAAUAUUAACUUUUAUUUAAUAAGGGUAAAUUUGUAAAUUAUCAUUAUAUUCACAGUAAAAAAAUUUAGUGAACCAAAUAUGAUAAUGUAAAACUCCUAGAAUUUUAAUUAGUACCUUCCGAUGUAUAUCAAAUAUUGUAAAGUAAUUUUAUCGACAAUCAUAUUCUAUGAAUUAUAUUCAAUUACAAUCAUACCAUGGAAAGCACCAAACGCUACCUUAAAUGUUGCAAUAUUAAUGACAAAACUUCUAUGAUCGUAAAGGAUAUUAUUAAAAUUAAAAUAAGUUAUGGAUAUGAUUAUACCAGUAUUAAUGCAUCGAAUUCCAUCAGAAUUCCACAAUUAAGUGUACUUGGAUGAGAGUAGUAUUAGGAUGAGUAACCUUUCGAUAAUCAUAAAAAAAAUUAAAAUAAAUUGUAUAGAUGUAAAAGAUUUAGAGAUGAACUGAAAGUAUUAUGAACGAAGUAUCUAAAACUGGUUGGUGAAUAAUCUACGAACUACGAAUGUUGCUGUUGAGGAAAUUGUAAGGUACCGAUAAGUUUGCUUUUACUGGAUUCUAUUUCGCAGGUAAUGAAUGAUAGUAUUAUUUUAAGGGUUUCUGAGUUUGUAUAUGGUCUGAAACAAAUUUAAUGGUAACUGGUAGUGUAUAAGGUAAUUCAUAUGUAAUCAGUCUAUUGUGUCAUAAUAAAUGUUUUUUAUAUAAUUCUUAACAAUGAUGUAAAUAUAUUUAAUUUAAGUAAAGCAUGUUGUCACUAAAACUUGAAUUCUUGAUUCUAUGAUUUGAUUUACAAUUGUUGAUAUAUGUUAUCGAUAAGAAAAGAUUUGGCUGAGGUGAAUGGCUUUCACUCUUAAAGAGCGGAGAGACGGUGUGAUGAAGUCGAAGAAAAAAACUUUAGGGAGAGUGAUAGAGAGAAGUAUUGGUUGAAUAAAAGUGUGUGUAGGAUUCAUGUCCGCUAUUCAAGUGAGUAUGCUUAUAUAUGAAAUGUUAGGGAUGCCAUGUGUAAAUGUUAUGUUGGCGGUAGGGUCACCUUCUAUGUCCUUAUAAAGAUAAUGAUGUGACCCUAUAGAAAAUAAUUUACAUAAAUUACUGAGAAUUAUUGCUAUCAUGACUUUAUACUAAAAUUUAAUAUUUGUUUUGACUUAAUGUGACAUUAUAUUUCUUGAAUGUAUGAUUUUUUUAAUAUUUUUAAAAAUAUAAUUUAAUUUACUAUAAUUUAAGGAUAAUUAAUUUAUUUUAUGUAAAAAAUUUCAAUUUUUUAUAUACUAAAUAAUCAUCCUUAAUUUAAUUUAAUUUAAUGAUAAAUAAAGUUUUUGAUUUGUUAUAUGUUUUAAAUAUUUCUAGCAUCGUACUAAUUAAAUAUAUAGAAUUGUAUUUGAAAAUUGGUUUACAAAAACUAUAACAUUCAAACAAAAUAUAAUUUGAGUUAACAUUUAUGAAUAAUAACAUUCAAACAUAUGAAAUAGUUUACUAAUUUUUUGUUGUACAAAAUAUUUUUACAACAUAAUUGUAUAAUAGUAAUGCAAAAACUAUAACAUUCAAACAGAUGUUUAAUAAUAAAUGAAAUAUUUGGGGAUAACCUACAAUGAUUUCUCUUUGAAUGUAAGUGUUGCAAUUGUAAUGACAAAACUUUUAUGAUCAUAAGAGGUAUUAUUAAAAUUAAAGUAAACUAUAUAGAGUUAAAAGGUUUAGAAAUGAAUUGAAAGCAUUGUGUACGAACUAUCUAAAAUUAGUUGGUGGAUAAUUUAUGUACUUUGAAGUAUUAAAUAGAUUUUUUAAUAGAUUUUUUUGAUAAAAUUGUCAUGAUUUUAAUGGAAUUAAAAUUGGGUUAAGACAUUGGAAAAUUAAUUUAUGAUGUUUAUUUUGGGAAAUAGAAAAAUAUGUAUUAGAUUGAAUUAAAUUAUAAAGUGGGGUUAAAAGUCCAGGAAGCACAUAUGCCCAAAUCCCCAUCAUAAUAUAUAUGAGGGGAAGCACACAUUAUUAGCCCCCUCUCUCUUAGUUCGACUAGGAUUUUUUUUCUAUUGAAAUAAACUUAUACUAAAUCAACAAGGGUUUCACUUCUUCUCCCUAUAAAUAGAUGACACCGGUAGGGCUAAACAUACAACUUUGAUAUACUGUUAUUUUGCCUGAAAAUAGUGAGAGUUUAUUCUCUAAGUAUUAAUUCUACUUUUCGAAAUAACAAUUCUACCAGUUUCUAUUUAGAGAGAAUUUUGCUUUACUUUGAAAGUAAAAUAAACAAUAUUUGGUUCUGUGUUUGAUGCGGAUUUGUUUAAGCCCACACUUGAAGCAGUUUGUGGUACGAGAAUAGUGGAGAAGGUCGUUCGGUUAAAAGUUAGGAACGAUAAGGAUCUGUUUAGUCGAAAACACAAGUGCAAUUUCGGUAAAGGAUUUACUGCUAUAAAUAUCACAUAUCGACUCGAUUUUCAAAAUUUUUAUUUUUCGCUGUACAAGAAAAUCAUUUUCUAACUUGAUUUUUCUAAUAUUUGGUAUCAGAGCUAGGUUGUGCUAUGUUUAUAGUAUAAAUCGAUACAAAAUCUUUUCUCUCUUCUUCAUGUGUGAUUAUUUUUGAUAAGAUGUAAAAUUCUGAUAAUUAUAUAUAUGUUUAGGGUAAUGUAUGCAAAUGAAUGUAUGUUAUUAUUUUAUUAUUAUGUAUGAUCAAGUAAUUUUCUCAAAGUUGUGAUUCCUAGAAAAUUAAAUAUAAUUUUAUUAAUUUCUCGGGUAUGUAUAAAUUAGAUUGUGGACUAUCAUCUCCAUGCAGGGUUUAAUUUUAUUAUUUUAGAAUAAAUAAUGUGAGUCAGAAACAAACAUAGGAUUUAUGUAACCUAUAUUUUUUGACGAAACUCAGAGAACCAAGACACAUCGAGGCCAAUCAAGACAACAUAAACUCAAACCAACCAAAUUGACAAUAGACUGAUGGUGGUCAGAUAGUUGGAGGCUACCGGUGGUCCGACGGUGAUGUUCAAUAGCAAGGGCUAGCGGUAGAGACUGAUGGCGAUGGUCUAUGAUAGUGGUUGGUGGCUAUCGGUAGUGGCUGAUUAUGGUGGUCUAGCAGUGGCCGACGACAGUGGUUGGUGGUGGUACAAUGAUAACUCGUGACAAUUCGGCGAUGGCGGUGACACGUAAACGAUGACAGAAUGACAACGACGAUAAUAACGUGAACCGGUACCGUAGCAAAAGUCCAUGGUGUCAAAAUAGAAUACCCUAAAUAUGCUUUGGGGUGAAUUUUAUAAUUUUUUUUUACUUUUCUAGAAUAGAAUCAUGGAAAAUUUAGCUGGUUAGGGUCAUUUAAAUUUGUAUGCUUUUAUAUGUGUUAGCAUGAUGAUAUUUAUUUGACUGCGAAUAUAUGUUUAUGCAUAUGUAUGAUAAGCAUGCCAUAUAGUUUAAGGCAAUAAUGCCACAUGUACUUGUCAUGUAUACAUUGAUCAUUCAUGUUUGAAACCGAACAUUAAAAAUCUUACAUGUUUUUAAAAGAUUAAGUGGGAGAAGAUCCCUAAACAAGACCUACAGUCUCCAUCAAUGGUCUAUUGUGAUUGCAUAACAAUUUAACUACUUACAGUAGGAUUGUCAUAUGGACUUCACUGAAGAGAUUUCUUGAAAGUAAGUAGAACUGUCUUGUAAUCAUAUGAUAGUUGGAUCGACCUUGUUAUAGGUAUUAUCAUGCGAUAUGACAAGAAAUUCUUUCUUCAAAGAGGAAUACUAGUCAUAGCAUGUUACUCGGUAAGAUUAUCCUAUGAUGACACAUUUGUGGUACAUGAUGCGAUGGGUGUUAAGUUGAUAGUUACACACUUAAGCUCUUCUAGUCAAGUAACUUCCCACAAUGCUUUACUUAAGUUAGAAUAAUGACCAAACAUUAAAUAAUUAUUAGUGUAUGUGAAUGCUUAAGGAAUUACAUUCAUGUACUGAUUGAAUGAAAAUCCAUGUUCUUAAUAGUUGAUUAUGAUCACCCCAUGGUGACUUGAUUCAAUAGGUGUAAGAAUUAUUGUUGCAACGACUUAUAAAUGUUUUCAAGGUUUAAUGUAAGACGCAUGCAUCAUUUUAAUGCAUAUCAUAAUGUUGCAAAACAUUUUCAAAUAUUUUCUUAAUACAAAGAUAUUAAUGAAUGGAUGUUUUAAUUUUAGUUUGAAAAUAGAACCUAUUCCUUUAUUAAAUAUACUCACAGAAAAUAAACUAAUUGAAAAUAACUGUAAGGAAUGGAAAAGGAACCUGAUGAUUGUUCUAAGUUGUGAGAAACUAAAGACAGUCCUUGAUAAUAAAUGCCUACUGGCCACUCAAGAUGAGGCUAGAAAACAUUGGGAGGAGUCUGAUGAGAUAACUCGUUGCUAUAGACUAGUAAGCGUGACCAACACCCUUUAUAAACAACUGAAGAGUUGUAAGACUGCAAAAGUAAUUCUAGACAAACUAGAAGACAUGUUCGAAGGCCAAGAUGUCUUGGCUCAACAGUCGACUCAUACUAGUUUGAUGAAUGCCCAACAAAAACCCAACACUCCAUUCAAAGACCAUAUGAUUACUCUUAUGGGAUACAUUGCCGAGGCCGUGGAUAAUAAGGCCAAUUUGGAUUAAAAUAAUCAAAUUAUGAUGGUGUUCAAAAGCUUGUCCAAGGCUCUUGCAGGCUUUUGAGCUAUAAAUAACCUUGAGAACACUAAUUUGACGCUUACACAACUCAUGAAAGAAUUACAACCCUAUGAGUUAAUGUUAAAUGGCAGCCAACUGGUACGAAGAGUGGAAGCAAACUUAGCUGUAACUUUUUCCUCAAAAGGGAAGAAAAAAUGUGCUAAGAAAAGUAAGGGUAAGUUAUUUGGGCCACCAAAAGUGGAAAGGAAGUUAUCCAAGAAGCUUAAAGACUUAUCUAAGUAUAAAUGCAUCUUUUGUAGUAAGAAAGGGCACUUCAAUGCAAAUUGUAAAAAAUGGAAGGAAUACCUUGCACCAAAGCGAAAGUAUGAAACUCUUUAUGAUAGAAACUUGUUUAGUGGAAGAUUCAAUAGACCAUUGGGUCAUUGAUUUUGGAGUCACUAAUCAAAUGUGUGUUUUUUUGCAGGGGUUCGAGGAGAUGAAAGAUCUUAGAUAUAAGAGUCUAUCGUUGCAGCCAAAAAAUGAGACAACUAUAGCAGCUGAAGCAUGGGGAUAUAUACAUAUUUACUUUGAUAAUUUUAGGAAGAUUAUUUUGAAAGACGUUUCCUAUGUACCAAGUUUCAAAAGAAACUUGAUUUUUGUUGCAUGUUUAUAUAAAGACGGCUUGACCAUGACUUUUAAUAAUAAUAUUGCAAUAUUUAGAAAUCGUAAACUUAUCUGUGAUGGAUGGAUGUCAAAUAAUCUCUAUUUUAGCAAACCAAAUAUGUGCACAUUGCUUGAGACUAAAAUUUCGAAUAAAAGACUUAAAACUUCUCACUCUAAUGAGGUGUACCUUUGGCAUUUGAGACUUGAACAUAUUAACCAAGAUAGAAUUACCAGACUUGCGAAAUAUGGUUCUUUAUGUUCGAUUAAACAAGUUGAUCUUCCACAAUGCGAAUCUUGCUUCGAAGGAAAGAUGACUAAGUGAUCUUUUAAUGCAAACGGAACGAGAGUUGUGAAACCCUUAGUGUUGGAUCUGGUGCCCUAAGUAUAGUAUUUUCUUUUAAGUACACUUGUAAUUUUUUUAACAGAUUAGUUACUAAAAUUAUUCAUAGAUUACAUUAAUAUAUUUUGUAUAAUUUCCUCAUGUGGUUUUUUGCAUGCAAAGAAAAAUAGAAGCAAAUAUUUCUCACUAGUUGUCUAAUGUUUAAAUUAAUACUAAGCAGUAUUACGUGGUCAGAUCGUAAUAUGGAAAGAUAACUUAGAUUAGUAGAUGAACCUAAUCACGUCCUUAAUAGAAUAGGAAAUUAUAAAAUGGAUUGAAAAAUUAAUAUGUUGUCUAUCAGGUCCAAUUGGGAAGAUGCCUUGUAUUGAACAUUAGAGCAAAUAACUCCAAGAAGAUAGAGACAUAGAUCUGACUGACUGGACUGAUAGUACAUCAGACUGGACCCAAGAAAAUAGAUCCUAAAUUCAUUUAUAAAUUUAUCCACUUGUGACAUUUAUAGUGUGGCAUACCUAAAUCCUGAGUGGAUGACGAAUCAUGUAUGUGUGACUCGUAUACUUUGAUAUAAGUAAAAGCCUGAGUUCGAAUAGAUAAGGAAUUGAAAGUUGGUGCAUUCAGUAUAUAACUUCUACAGUGUGUAACAUUAUUCACAAUAGUGGAAUUCAUAGCCCAAGACACCGGUAAAUGAUAUCAUUUUAUUGGCAUUACAUGGUUGAUAAAAAGUAAAUGUGGCCACAGGUCGUUCGUCUUUGUGAUGAUUGACUUGAUUACUAUUUGAUAGUAAUUGACUUGUAACACCCAUAACCCAUUUCCAUCUCUAGAUUAGGGUUACAGAGUAUUACUACACAUUUCAAAACAUUUAACAACGAGUAAUAUUGAGUUUAUCAAUUAUUUAACAACAUUCAUAAAUAAUUUAGAUUGAAGUCAAACAUACACUUACGAGCUUUAAAUCGAGCCUAUGAGGCCUUAAAAAAUAGUUUAGAAACAAUUAAGGCCAAUUUGAAACAAUUCAGAAAGUUUGGGGAAAAACUAAAAAUUUUCAAAAUAGGGGUCACAUAGUUGUGUGUCUAGGUUUGUGUGAUAGAGCCUAGAUCGUGGGGCUCCGGACAUGGUCAUAUGGCUACUCCACUCAUCCGUGUGGCUAUUCCACAUGCCUAUGUGACUAUUUGUAAUAGCACGAUUUUGGGUCUAGUCGGAAUAGUGGUUUCAAGACCACAAAUCUGAAGUAUAAAAAUUUAUUUUUGUUAUAUUUUUAUGGUCUAUAGUUUUAUGGAAUGAUUUCGUGAAAAUUUUGUUCGAAAAUUUUAACGCUUAGGCACUCAAUUUGGUCAAAAGGACUAAAUUAUAAAAAGUGAAAAAGUUGAGUUCUACAUGCUAGAGGUGUCCAAUUAUUAUGAAAUUUUAAAAUGGAGGUCUUUAAAUGGCAAUUAGACCAUUGGUUAAGUUGUUGGACAAAAAUGGACAUGGUUAGGUAUGUUUUUAAAGUUUUUCAUUAUGGGCAUUUUGGUAAUUUGGUAAUUAAAUGAAUUAAAAGCCAAAUUAAAAGCCAAUUUUUUUCCAUCUUCAAGCUAUGGCCAAAUUUCACAAGGGGAAACCAUGGCUAGGGUUUUUCAAGCUUUCAAGCUCGAUUUUAAGUCCAUUCUAGCCUCGUUUUUAAUGAUUUUUAUGUUUUUGAAAUCCUUGUAACAAGAUCUAUCUAUUUCUACCACUAAUUUUAGAUAUAAUAAAAGUUUAAAUUUUUACCCAUGAUGAAUAUUAGUGUAUUUUGAUGUAUAAUGGUAGAAAAUGCAUGUUAGAUGUUAGAUAAAUGACUUUUGCUAAGUGUUUUUCGGUAAAAAUGUAAAAAAUGACUUGUUUGUAAAAGUUAUGAAAAUGUGUGUAAAUGUGUGAAUAAAAGGAAAAUGUGGGCUGCUAUAAGCAUGUAUAAGGUUUGGCUAGGCAUGGGUAUUGAAGAAAUUAAGUACAUUUCAUUUUACGAGCCUAGGGACUAAAAUGUAAAAAUGUGAAACUUAAGGGGAAAAAAGUAUUUUUUUCCAUAAUAUAAUUUUGGGCUGGUUUGAAUAGCUUAAUGAUUAAAUAAUUUGAAUGUGAUAAUAUAGAUCAAGAAAAAGGAGAUUGGAACUAGAAUGGGGGAAAAACGAGUAUUUGACGAUUAGGUCUUUUUCGCCAUUUUUAUGUCAAGGUAAGUUCAUAUGUUUAAUAAGCAUUAAAUUAUAUAUGUAUUAAUGCUUAAUUGUUAUAUUUGUGAUAAAUUCUAUAUUAUUGAAAUGAAAUGUGAAUAUUAUUGAGUAUGGUAUUACGGAAAUGACCGAUAGCGAUUUGGUACAGUGAGAAAUCCCGUUUGAACCUCAGGAAUAGAUUAGGAUACAAGUGACAUGUCACUAACCAUGAGUUAUGUGAUUUAUGUGAAUCUGGGUGCUGGUCAUGUACAUCCUACCGGUGGUUGGGUAGUCCAGCAUGUGUUGCGGAUACCUGACAGCUUGUAUGAGUAGCCCGUGUAGUUACGUCUUGACUGACAGCUUGUGUGAGCAGGCCUGUGAUUAGCUCGUGUGCGAGCCCUAUGUGUUAUGAGAUAUGAGGUAGCAUUGGAUACAUAUGUGACACUUAUGUGUAAGACCUUCUGUGUAUCCGACAGUGUUUUAAGUGUUCAACGGGUAAUCCGAAGAGUAUGUCAAAGAUGGCAAAGUAUGUGACUAUGUUAUGAAUUUAUACAGAAUGCUCAGUAUCAAGCACACGGGCAGAGACAUAGGCGUCUGUCUCAGCCAUUUGAAGGACACGGCCUUGGGACACGGGCGUGUGCCUUGGCCGUGUGACCUCAAUUUUUUCAUGACGUCAUAAAUAGAGAGUUGCACAGGUUAAGAACACGGGCGUGUUCCUUACUACACAGGUGUGUGCCUCGGUCCAUACGGCCGUAUGGCCCUGUUUCCAUGAGAAAUUUUUUAAGUUUUCUAAAAGUUUUCAAAGUUUUCGGUUUAGUCCUGAACCACUUACGAUGUAUGUUUUGGGCCUCGUAGGCUCGUUUUAGGGACGAUAUGAAUGUCUGUGAAAAGUUUUAAAUUUGGAUGGAAAUUUACGUUUGGUUUUGCUUAUGUUUACGUCUGGUAAUGCCUUGUACCCUGUUCUAGAGUCGAAUAUGGUUAAGAGGUGUUAUAUUUAGUGGUAUCAAUGCCAUGGUUUAGUUGAUUCUCAGGCUAACCUAGCAUGUGUGAGAGUCUAGCUAUGCAUGCCAUAUAGAGCCCGUGAUAGUUUGAUAUCUCUCGACUCUGAUGAAAUUAUUUUGUUGAGACAGAGAUGCUUUCCAAUCGAGCUACUUUCGAAAACGCUGAAAGUGAUACUAAGAUAUUUGUAAAUGUGUUUGUGAUGAGUCAAAACUUGAAAAGGUAUGAAUAAGAGUCCAUGAUAUGUAUGUGAUGACGUAGAAAAUGGAAUAACCAUAAGUUGAGAAAUAUGGUUAAAAUGUCACUGUUCCGGUUGAACGUUGUGUUUCAAUGGAUUAUGGUGAUUUUAUGAAACAAAAUGAAAGUUUAUAUUGUGAUAAACUCAUCUAUGUUUGUUUGGCAUUCAUAUGAUGUUAUGUGCCUAACUUGUUUGACAAAGUGAAUGCAAUGAGUAAACUUACUCAAAAUUUAUGGAAUGUAUGUAUAAGUGCACUUGUUUGAAUAAGAUAAUCAAAAAGUUCGUGUAACAUAAAUAUGUAUGUUAAAUUGCCUAAAGUGGCUUAUAUAACUGUGAUGAUAUUAUAAUGAUGAUGAAUGUUAAGUCACAUGUGUAUAUAUAUGAGAGUCGAGUUAGAGGCUUUACGACCUCACCCCCUUACCAAUGUGGUAUUUUAUUGUGAAAUUUCACGAGAUUUAUGUUGAAUGAGUUCACAAGUGAGAGACUAAAGAGUUCAGUAGCGGAAUAACUAAUAAUGUGGUCAAAGUUGAAAAUAUCUUGGCAAGUGAAUACAGUUUUGGAAAAAAUGCCAGGUUAUUCUAAAGAUCAUUUGGAUUUCGUAAUGUCACAGUUAAAGAAAGAGUUAAUCUUGGCUAAUCGACUCAUUCAAGUAUAAUGUCUAAAGUAUGUAUUUGCUGGAAUUUCUUCUAGAUUGAUUUUCAUUAGUGAAUGGAAUAAUACGGGAUUAGUGAUGACAAAAUUAGUCAGAGAAAUAAUAUUUGAAUUGUAAAGAUGUUUGAGUGUAACAGUUGAAAUUGAAUAGAUUAUGAUGACCUCUCCUGGGUAUUUUAUAUAUUCACUUAUCCUUAGAGAUAUAUGUGAUUGUUCGUUUUCUGAUGAAAUUCUUAUCGUAUGAGAAUGCUAGUUGAUAAUAAUGUUAGAUGAAAGCACUAUUGUUUUGGUUGGUUGAUGAUCAGCAUAUCUUAUCUCCUUCUUUGGGGUUCUAUUCUAUUAUGUUUGGAAUAAUAGUUGAUGGUGCAAAUUCAUGUGAGGCUAUCCUUUUGUUUCUACUGGAUGUUGUUUUAUUUUAUAUAUAUUUGGAAAAUAUAUUAUCUCUGUUACAAUUGAUUCCAAAACAUGUAAGCAUUGUUUUCUUCUGGUUUUCUUUGAGGAAUCAUCAAGAUAUUUAUUAUUUUCAUAUGAAUUAUGUUCUCGGACUUCCAGUAUGGUAUCACAUCCUGGAUUUCUUUAUCUCGGUUUUCUUAUCAUCCUUAUUUCGUAAAUUAUCAAUCAUGGCUCGUCUUUAAAGUGUGUUCUUUGGCCUGUGAUAGCUAUGUCUAUUAUGGGUGUAUUUCUGGUUCGAUCAUAGGAACGUGGUGAUUUUGGUAUUAGGAUUUCUUUGAUUUUCGUGAAAGGAAUUGACAUCGGAAAAGGUAUAGAUAGUGGAAGCUCAAGCUCAAAUUGAAUGAUGGUUUUCAUUUCUCAGUUGAGAUCGACUCAGUUUUUUUUAUCUGAGCGAGCUGGUCAGUUGAAAGGUAAUUUGAGUUAUAUGCAUUUAAGUUUAUCCUCAAGUAAGAAAAUAAAAUCUUGUACAUUUAUGGUGAAUAAACGAAUAGUUUUAAGGAAGAGUUCAUAUUCUAAAAAGUAUGAUACAGAGGUAUACCUAUUAGAUUUGUUCUAAUUGAAUGAUGUUGUUAUGAGUUAAAACUGUUCCAAUUGAUAAAAUUAUCACAUUUGUGAAAGUUUGAAUGGUCCGUUGCAUGUUAAAAGUUGAAAACAGUUGAAGGUGUUAUUAACUGAAACACUGGUUCUGGGUUCUGUUUGCAUUGAUGUAAAUAAUUAGUGACUUUUCAUUUCUGCACUAUCGAACAGAUUAGAAUGUGUCUUAAUACAAGAGUAUAAAGUGAUAGUUUAUGCUUUUUGAUGAUUAAAAUCUCAUUAAAAGAAUUGUCCGAUGGGUGAUUUAGAGUCAACCACUAUUAUGUCUGUGUUGAAGUUGAUGACAUCGUUUGUUCGAUGAAAAAUGACAUAUGCUUCUUGAUUCCAAGAGUAUAAAUGUAAUACCCUUAACCCAAAUCCGUAGCCAGAUUUGGGUUACGAGGCAUUAUAAGACGAAAUCACAUUUCUCAUAAUUCUCAAGCUCAAAUAACAUCUCACCACUUAUUCAAAAAUGUCAAGUCAUUACAUAAAUAUAUAUCACAUAUCCAAUUAAAUAAAUCAUGAAUCAUUAUGAAACAAGUAGCCUUAAUUCACUUAAUCACAUAAAUCAAAUUUUCACAAUACAAACCAUGCUCCAAAACUCAACCAAGCCAUUACCAUUUACUUAUUCAAAUAUUCGAAUCAAAUAAGUAAUAUCCAUAUCCUAUUUCUUAUACUUCAUAAAUUCAAUGUUCAAAGCAUAUAUCCAUCAUGUCAUGGCAUUUGAAUACCAACUUGAAUAGAAACCAUUUUUCAAUCCAUAAAUAUCAAAUGCGCACAUAUGGACCAUUUAGCUAAUGAAAAUUAAACAUACUUUACUACUGUAAUACAUAUACUUUAUUACUCCAAUAACCGAACCAUAUAUUCAGCAUACAGGAUAUUCGAACUUCUAUUUAAUAAUCAAACAUGUCAAUUCAUAACAUUAUACAUAUGCAUGUUAAACCAAUUUGACCAUAUCAUCAUGGCUUAAUAUUCAUUUGCACAUAUAAACUUAAGUAACUUUAUAUCAUAACUAACUAAACUUUUAACAUUGUCAUACCAUGCGCAUAACACCUUUAAGCCAUUUCUAAAUACAAUUAUCAAAACGUAGCAUAUUAACCUUAUAACCUUUUUUGCACAUUUUACCAAAUCAAAUUUAACCAUUUUUGAACACAAUUGUCCAGUCAUACCAUACCUAAUUCUCAAACUCAAUAACAUAUUUAUCCAUGUCGUAUUCAACCACACACAUGGACCACAUACCAAAGCUGAAUUUAUUACAACAUAUGUAUAUCACACAUUUUUUUAAUCAAAUGUUAUAUAAGCAAUUUGACCAUUACUUGUCGAAUAACCCAAACUUCGUGACACAAGCAUAGAUUUUAUUUAAUUAUCAUCAAUCGAAUAUAAUAGAUCAUCAAUUAUCAUUUCCAAACCAAUAUAUAAACAAAUUUUGCAUCAAAAUAUAGAUUAAUAAUAAACCACACUAAAUACCCAAAUUCACAUAGCUUAGCAUAGUCAUUACAUAGUAAAUAUAAACACAUACCAACAUUAUCAUACAACCAAAUCAUUAACCACAUUGCCAUCACUCAAUAUUUUAAGCUAAAUAUGCCAUCUCAUAACUUAACAUCAAAAUAAUAUAUCAGUUAUUUUUAUUCAAAUGACCAUCAAACAUACCCAAAAUAUAAUCACCAUUUUACCAUAUUACUAAGCCAAAUUAUACCAUUUUCCAUGCCUUCAAAAUGAGCUACUAGUAAGCCGAAUAUACAUCUUACUUACCAUUCCUCAUUGCUGAAUCAUAUAACCAACAUCAAGACCAAAUAUAAACACCAACAUUAGCAUCAUGAUCAUGAUCAAGCCAUUUUCGCAUGGCUAUACACAAACAAAUUUCAAAACCACAUAUAUCAAAACUAGCCUAUACAUGCCACAUAACCAAAUUUCAAGUAUUUAUUUACCAAAACAAAUAUUGGAUAGUGUGAUGAUGUCUCCCAUGACUUACAACCCGAGCAAGUCUUUGAAAAUCUAUAAGCAUAGAAAAAAAAUACACAGAGUAAGCUUUGAUAGCUUAGUAAGCCACAAGCAAAUAAUUCAUCACUAGAACAUGUAUAAUUCAACCCAAAUAGGCCAAGUUUAGUUAAUUUCAUACACAUAUGCAAUCACUUUUCUCAUAUAAUCCAUAUCACUGCCUUAAGAAAUUUCACUUAUCUUAUUGAUAAACCGUAAUUUAUACAUAUUUUUAUCCCAUGCUUAGCGCAUUUAUGGAUGGUUUCUCUUUAGAUUUGGUGACUUCAAUAUUCCUAAUUCUUUAAUUUCAUGUUUUAUACUCAGGUGAGCAUAGGAAAGUAAAAGAGCGACAAACGGGCCAAAAACGAAGAAAAUGGACCCACAUGAGAAAUCAACAUGGCCUGGACUUCCUCACACGGACGUGUCACACAGCCGUGUCCAUUUGGCAGGAUCGAAGCACGACUUACACGGGUAGACUACAUGCUCGUGCCUGUUCAACAGCCUUUACCACAGGCUGGAGUAAUCGCACACGGGCGUGUCCCUGCCGAGCCCAAGUAUAGUCCUAUUCGAAAAAAGCCACUUGUGAGGGCUCUUAGGCAUUCUAAAGCCUAUUUAAACACCUGAGGAGGCACUUAGAAGACACACAUGAAGUAGGAAGCAAGGAAUUACUCAAGGGAAGCCGAUUGGUCCAUCUCAGAAGUCGGAUUCAUCGUUAAGACUGAAGAUCUCCCUUCAAUUUCUAUUCAGGGGUUUUGGGUUUUCUUUAUGUUUUGUAUUCAUUAUUCUUUUGAGAUGUUUCCUUUUUUAAUUAUGAACUAAACCUCCUAAAUACCUAAGGGGAAUGAAACCGAAGACAGAUCUUGUUAUUAUUAUCUGAAUUGUAUGAUAAAUAUUUGACUUGUUCUUAAUUAUGUGUUCUUAAUUCUUGUUUUAAUAUUCCAGGAUAUUGAUCCAAGUUAAUGCUCUUAUUCAGAGGAGGAAAAGACCCUGUCUAAGAGUAAAUUUGUCGUAAUUAAGUGGAGUUGAUUGCAUGCCUAGAGAUAGGGUGAUAAGAUUUUUUCAGAUUAGGGUGAAACCUAAUAAGAGGAUCCAUAGAUCGAGUUAAUGCAACACUAGGGCAUUAAUUUAGAAAGAGAUUUCAAUUAAUCAACCUAGGGUUAGACGUUAUUAGUCUCAAGAGAGAUAAUAAUAUAACUUAGGGAUUUCUACAGAUCAAGUCAAAUGAAUAAAUCGCCUGAUUCAGAGUCAAAUAACAAGUGAAGUCUAGGUGGAUUUUUCCUUGGGUAUUGUCUUAAUCAAUCGAAUUUUCCCAAAAGCUUUUCCCUAAUUUCUCUCUGUACACUCUUAGUUUAGUUAAUCAGUUUAGAUAAACAAAUCCCUUAAUUUUUAGACUAGAUAAUAAAAAGAAAGUAAUUACUAGUACUUUUGGUUCCUUUGGGUUCGACAAUCCGGUCUUGCUAAAGCUAUACUACUGUUCGAUAGGUACACUUACCUUCAUCGUGAUAAUAGUUAGUUUCAAGAAUGAUUAAUUAUAAAUUUUUAAAACUUGUUGCGAAUAUCACGUAUCAAGUGUUUGGCGCCGUUGCCGGGGAACUAAGAUAUUAGUAACACUCAAUUUUUAUUACUUUAGACAUUUUACUUUUAUUGCAAUUUAAAUUUUUAUUUUCUUUUCUAAUUCUUCAUUUAUUUUCUUCUGACAGGUUUUUUGUAGUUUAUGACCAGAAGAAACCCGUCAGGGCCACUACUUUUUGACGGUGAGAUCGACCACAUAGUUCGCAGAAACCGAAGAGAAUAAGGCGAAGCCUAAGAUACACAGAGGAAGAGCAAGAGGACGAUAUUCAUGCCACAACCAAGGAGAUGGUCGACAACUAGGAAAAUCUGCUACCUCCUGCAAUUGCUGCUAAUCAGAAUCUUGCUCCACGCACUAUGUAUGAUUAUGCUAAACCUUAUUUAACAGGAACUGAAUCGAGCAUAGUUAGGCCUGCUGUUGCUGCAAAUACUUUUGAAUUGAAACCUAACACAAUUCAAAUGAUACAGUAAUUUGUUCAGUUUGAUGGUUUGCAGGACGAAGAUCCCAAUGCUCACUUGGCAAACUUUUUGGAACUAUGUGAUACAUUUAAAAUUAAUGGUGUUUCUUAUGAUGCCAUUCGCCUUCGAUUAUUCCCUUUUUCAUUAAGGAACAAAGCUAAACAGUGGUUGAACUCAUUACCACAAGGGUUAAUCACUACCUGGGAACAAAUGACCGAAAAGUUUUUAUUAAAAUAUUUUUCGCCGGCUAAAAUAGCUAAAUUACGUAAUGAUAUCCCUUCUUUUAUGUAGAUGGAUUUAGAAACACUCUAUGAUACAUGAGAGAGAUACAAUGACCUUUUGAGAAGGUGCCCUCACCAUGGGUUACCACUCUGGCUACAGGUUCAAACGUUCCACGACGGCCUGAAUCCUUCGACUAGACAGAUAAUUGACACAGCUGCUGGUGGAACUAUCAAUAAUAAGACACCUGAGGAUGCUUAUGAAUUUAUAGAAGAAAUGUCAUUGAAUAAUUAUCAGUGGCAAGUCAUGAGGACAAAGCCAACAAAAGCGGCUGGCGUUUUUAACGACGAUUCAGUCACAAUGCUCUCCAAUUAGGUAGAACUUUUGAAUAAAAAAUUGAUGGUUUUCUUGGUUUUUCACAGGUUCACCCAGUAAUGCAGUGCGAAGCAAUUGGAGGUAGAUCAAGCAAUUCAGAAUAUCCACCCUAUGGCCACAACAUGGAGAACGAGAAGUUAAAUUACAUGGGUAAUAAUCCUCGAUCUCAAAAUAAUCCUUAUAGUAAUACUUACUAUGCAGGUUAGAGGAACCACCCAAAUUUCUUAUGGGGAGGCCAAGGGAAUCAGAGACCACCACCACCUCUAGGCUUCCAACAACCACCCUACCAACAAGAGAAAAAACCAAACCUUGAAGAGAUGCUAACAAAAUUCAUCUCGGUGCCAAAAACUCAUUUUUAGAAUAUCGAGACAACACUUAAAAAUCAACAAGUGUCGAUCCAAGGGCUCAAAACUCAAAUAGGUCAGCUCGCUAAAUUGAUAUCUGAACGACCACAAGAUAGCCUACCGAGUAACACUAAAUCUAACCCAAGGGAGCAAAUCAAUAUAAUUACCAUUCAAGAUGAGGAAGGGUUAGUUGCACCUGAACCAGAACCGAGGCAAGAAACUGUGGUAAGUAAAGGUAAGGGUGAGGUGGACAACAAUGACCAGAAACCGGUAAGUAAAGAAUACAAACCUCGUGUACCAUACCUAAACGCGACAAGG
rnacentral:lncRNA from 1 species